CGGCGGACGGGUGAGUAACGCGUGGGUAACCGUGCCUCAUACAGGGGAGUAACAGUUGGAAACGACUGCUAAUACCGCAUAAGCGCACAGUACCGCAUGGUACCGUGUGGAAAACUCCGGUGGUAUGAGAUGGACCCGCGUCUGAUUAGCUAGUUGGUGGGGUAACGGCCUACCAAGGCGACGAUCAGUAGCCGACCUGAGAGGGUGACCGGCCACAUUGGGACUGAGACACGGCCCAA
rnacentral:rRNA from 1 species